UUGGGAGGCUGAGGCAGGAGAAUGGUGUGAAUGCGGGAGGCGGAGCUUGCAGUGAGCCGAGAUAGCGCCACUGCACCCCGGCCUGGGCGAAAGAGUGAGACUCCGUCUCAAAAAAAAAGAAACCUGACCCCCCUCAGGCUGGUCCAAAGCCAUCGGAUGUACCCUCUCCUCAGAACAAACAGGAAGGUGGCUGCCACUUCCAGCGGCUUCACGGCAGAGCUUGUGCAAUCGCAGGACACAGCCUGGAUGGCCGAAGACAGCAGGGCAGCUGUGAACGGUCUAUGCCAUGUCUCCUGCCCAAACCCUUUUCUGCUGCUCCCAACCAGAAAAUAAGGAUGGAGACAGCCUGCAGCCCCUCCUUUGCCAGUGAAAGAUCUGGUGGGGAGGCGUGGGGUCUCUGGGGGUCGGGGGGACAGGUAUGACGAUGCUGGUGCCCAUCUCUCUGGGGCAUUCCGCCCCCUUUGGACUUCAUUGUCCCUGCUGUGUCACCAGGGGCCCUGCCACACCCUGCCUCCGAGUGUGUGGGGUCUGUACCUGCUUUGCCCCCACUGGCCGCUUUCUCCAGGACAGCCAUGAACAUCUCCAGUGUCCUCGGAGCAAGGAAGGAAUGCUUCCUGGAGCAGAAGUGGCCACAAUGACGCUAGGUCAGCAGAUGGCCGCAGAGGCCUGGGCAGUGACCGGUCGGAGAACAAAGCCUGAGGUGUUCCCAGGCCGGUUUCCACGGGAGUCUUGGCAGUGACCCGUGCACGGAGGAGACGCGUGCCUUCCUGGCCCCCCAGUUUGGAUUCCUGGUGCCUCUAAGGUCUGCUGAUGGCAGAGCUGCACCCGGGAUAUUGCCACGGUUUCUACAGGACUGAACAAAGGGGGACCAACGCAGAAAUGAAAACUUAAAACAAAACAGCCACUAAGGAAGGCGCAGAGGGACUUCCUUUCGGCCUGCAACAGUAUCUGUGCUGCCCAAGUGAGUAUGGAAUUUUAAAUUUUCAUUCUUAGUCUCUUCCUUCAUCCACUGGUCAUUCAGGAGCAUGUUGUUUAAUUUCCAUGUAUUUGUACAGUUUCAAAUGUUCCUCUUGUUAUUGCUUUCUGGUUUUGUUGCACUGUGGUCAGAUAAGAUACCUGGUAUCAUUUUGAUUUUUAAAACAUUGUAGAGACAUGUUUUGUGUCUUAACAUAUUGUCAAUCCUGGAGAAUCUCCCAUGUGCUGAUGAAAAGAAUGUAUUUUUCAGCUGUUGAGUGAAACGUUCUGUAAAGGUCUGUCAGGUCCAUUUGGUCUACGGUGUAGUUUCAAUCCAAUGUUUCUUUGUUAAUCUUCUAUCUAGAUGAUCUUUUUAAUGCUGAGAGAGGGGUUUUAGAGUCCAACUAUUAUUCUAUUGGGGUCUAUCUCUCCCUUUAGAUCUAUUAAUAAUAAUAUUUGCUUUAUAUACCUGGGUACCCUGGUGUUGGGUGCAUAUAUAUUUUUAAGUGUUAUAUUCCCUUGCCAAAUUAACCCCCUUAUUAUUAUACAGCGUCUUUGUCUCUUUUUAUAGCUUUUGAAGUCUGUUUUGUCUAAUAUAAGUACAGUUACUCCUGCUCACUUUUGGUUUCCAUUUUUGUGGAAUAUUUUUUUCCAUCCCUUCACUUUUAGCCUAUAUGUUUCUUCACACAUGAGGUGAGUUUCUUGUAGGCAGCGUAUAGCUGGGUCUUUUUAA
rnacentral:lncRNA from 10 species